CUCUUAAAAUUGAUGUGUUAAAAUUUUACACAAAAUAUGUGUAAAAGGAUUCCAACACAUUUUUGUGUUAGAACUGACACAUAAUGUGUAAAUAUUAUGCUUAACUGCUUACACAAUGAAUGUGUAAAACACGUUUACCAGUACACCAUAAAAUAAAAUGCAUAAUUAUUGUAAUUUAAUGAUGAUUUAUAUUUAAACGAAGUAACAAAAUAAAAUAUAUCUACUGUUAACCAAAAUAUAUCUACUGUUAACCACUACUACCACAUAACAGCCAGCGGGGAUUUUCAUAAGGACUUGCCGAGAUCAAGCUGCGUUGGGCGGGGUACAUUAGCGCUGAGUAUCCGGUGGUUGUCUGGAUCAGAACUCCGAAAGAGUCGAAGCAGAUUUUUUAAUAAACGCUAUCUUUAUUAACCGACCGCACAUUUGAUCUUUUUAUACAUACAUUCUCGCCUAAAUAGCUUUUGAAUAUACAUUUUGUGACACAAUAAGAGUAAUAUUUCACACAUUAUGCAGGAGUUCUCUUCCAUUGGUGGCUGUUGUAAGUUCACACGAGUCAGCUGAUGACGUUUCACUUGGACAGACAACCACGCAUUGUUGUAUAUUUUUUUGCGUGUGUUAUUAUUAUUUUAUUAUUAUGAAAUUCGUGAACAUUAUUAUUGAGCCUUGGCAGUCUAUUUUGUAUUUGUUUUAUUAAGGAGAAAAAAACAGACAAGAACGCAUAUUGUGUUGCGCCUGCGCUGUGACGUUCUUUUUUCAACCGCAUUUCCAGUCAAGAGGUCAAGAAUGUUCCUGUCUGCAUCAGCUAUCCAUCUGAAAAAGAAAAGCUGGCACUCGCAAAGGAGAUUGUGUUGUUGGAUUAUGGUCUCAUUUGGUCAAAAUGAGGGACAUGUACUGAGCAUUUUUCUUUAUUUUUUCUUUUUUUUUUUUGAUGGGCCAUCACACAGUGGAUUUAUAAAAAUGAGACUACAGAACAUCAGACGGAAGCUUCAAUGGAGUUGACGUGAGAGGACAUCAUCAAUAAAGAAUGCCAUUGACCAAACCUUCAGUCAUCAAAGGAGAUGGAUACAGGUGGACAUUGAGUUUUCCAGACUUACCGAUAGGAAAGAAGACAUGUUUAUCAGGAAAUGGGAGGUGACAUCUAUAGAGAAACUCAGGGAAAUAGCAUCUUUAGAGAAGAAAAUUGACAUCAGACAUUCAUUGAAGAAAGCUGACAGUCAACAUAAUGAUCUUCUGCUGUGUGAAUUCUGCUGUCUCAGACCUGUGGGACAUGGUGGCGGCUGGUACCAGCGUGACCUCUGCUUACUAAAUGAUGAAAAGGUGUCUAAAAUCAGCUCAGCCACAGUUGGUUUCCAGCGGUUCUUCAGGACAUAGAGGCCACUACGUAAUUGUCGCAAUGAAUGAUUCUCUUGCCUUUCCACUUGAUGUUUACAAUCUGACCUGUGCGGUAGACAGACUUUUCAAAUUUACUAGCUAAGUAACCUUAAGUAUCCCUGCCAACUGUCUUCAGUUUUUUUUUGGUAUGAAUAUGAUCUACCCUUGUCCCAGUCCUCUUGCAAACAAUCCAAGCCAAUGUAGUUUUUAAAUGGACCGCAAAAUUGCAGUCUGUUUUAACCAAUGCAUGCACUGUGUGGCGGUUUCCCGGACAGGGAUUAGACUAGUCCUAGACUAAAACAUUUUUAAGAGCUGUCCAAACUGAAAACAACUUGCACUGACAUAUCUUAAAAUACAUCAGUGCCCUUUGUUUUGCCUCAAAAUGCACACAGGUAAUGUUUUUAGUAAGGCAUGUUUGUUAAAACCAUAUAUAUUUCCUAAUUAAUCUAAGGCCUAGUCCUGGAUUAAGAUAAUCCCUGUCCGGGAAACCACCCCUAAAUAUUUUGUGAUGGAAAUUUCUUUGAAUACACUUGUCAAGUUCAUUUGAAGUAUUUUUCUUAAUGUAAAAUAACGUGUUAAUGUUUCAGGACAAGGUAAGAAUUUUUGAUAACUUGCAUGUUGAAAACGAUUUCAGACAUUGUUUCAACAUGUUUAACACAUGUGCUUUUAAAUUCAAUGAAUUAUUUUAUAAAUGGUGUUUUUUUAUGUAUGAAUGUAAUGUAUGUUUGAAGUGAUUAUACUUGCACUUAAAUUUAUUUAAAUUAGCAUACAUCUUGCAACAUACAGUACUAGCAUAUUUUCAUGCUAGCAUUAAUUGUCAAAUAUUUAUUAUUUUACAAAUAAAUCGUUUGUGAACAAUAUUUAAUAGUUGUCUGCUUGAUUUCAUUAUUUAAAGUUUACAAAUCGUAUGUUUUUGUUCUCUUUUAUAUUAAAACUAAACAAUUACUGGGUAACACACAGUUGUGUUAAAUUAAUAGAAAGUUACACAUUAAUGUGUUUACUGAAGCAACACAUUUUUUGUGUUGCAUUUUAUAACACAUAUUCUGUGUUAAAUUUAACUCAACAUGUGUUGUCCCUGCGCACACUCAGAACAUGUGUAAAAAAUAACACAUGUUGUGUUGUUUUUAACACAUUUGUUUUA